rnacentral:rRNA from 1 species
AGCGAACGCUGGCGGCAGGCUUAACACAUGCAAGUCGAGCGGGCGUAGCAAUACGUCAGCGGCAGACGGGUGAGUAACGCGUGGGAACAUACCUUUUGGUUCGGAACAACACAGGGAAACUUGUGCUAAUACCGGAUAAGCCCUUACGGGGAAAGAUUUAUCGCCGAAAGAUUGGCCCGCGUCUGAUUAGCUAGUUGGUGAGGUAACGGCUCACCAAGGCGACGAUCAGUAGCUGGUCGAGAGGAUGAUCAGCCACAUUGGGACUGAGACACGGCCCAAACUCCUACGGGAGGCAGCAGUGGGGAAUAUUGGACAAUGGGCGCAAGCCUGAUCCAGCCAUGCCGCGUGAGUGAUGAAGGCCCUAGGGUUGUAAAGCUCUUUCACCCGCGACGAUGAUG